rnacentral:misc_RNA from 1 species
AAAGUCGUAACAAGGUUUCCGUAGGUGAACCUGCGGAAGGAUCAUUAAUAGAGGAGGGCCUCUGGCCCAACCUUCCACCCCGUGUCUUGAAUACCUUGUUUCUUUGGCGGGCUCCGCCCGUCAGAAGCAUUCUCAAACUCGAUAACAUGUUUCUGAAUAUCAAAUGAUAUAAUAAAGCAAAACUUUCAACAACGGAUCUCUUGGUUCUG